AAGGAGUUAGUUUAAAAAAAACAUUUGUAUGUCAAAUAAAAAUUAUAAAAAUAUACACCUUG
rnacentral:tRNA from 1 species